rnacentral:rRNA from 1 species
ACGCUCGACACCUACGGGGGGCAGCAGUGGGGAAUAUUGCACAAUGGGGGAAACCCUGAUGCAGCGACGCCGCGUGAAGGAUGAAGUAUUUCGGUAUGUAAACUUCUAUCAGCAGGGAAGAAAGUGACGGUACCUGACUAAGAAGCCCCGGCUAACUACGUGUCAGCAGCCGCGGUAAUCUGAGCGGGCUGGCAAGGC